AACGCGAAGAACCUUACCCGGGAUUGAACGUAAGUGGAAUAAUGUCAAAAGAUGUUAGCUAGCAAUAGCCACUUACGAGGUGCUGCGUGGUUGUCGUCAGCUCGUGCCGUGAGGUGUCGGCUUAAGUGCCAUAACGAGCGCAACCCUUAUUGCCAGUUACUAACAGGUAAAGCUGAGGACUCUGGCGAGACUGCCGGCGUAAGCUGUGAGGAAGGUGGGGAUGACGUCAAAUCAGCACGGCCCUUACAUCCGGGGCGACACACGUGUUACAAUGGUGGGGACAGCGGGGAGCUACCCGGCGACGGGAUGCCAAUCCUGAAACCCCAUCUCAGUUCGGAUCGGAGUCUGCAACUCGACUCCGUGAAGCUGGAUUCGCUAGUAAUCGCGCAUCAGCCAUGGCGCGGUGAAUACGUUCCCGGGUCUUGUACACACCG
rnacentral:rRNA from 1 species